AUUGAACGCUGGCGGCAGGCCUAACACAUGCAAGUCGAACGAGUGGCGGACGGGUGAGUAAUGUCUGGGAAACUGCCCGAUGGAGGGGGAUAACUACUGGAAACGGUAGCUAAUACCGCAUACCAUCGGAUGUGCCCAGAUGUGAUUAGCGCGAGGGUGGGGUAACUGCUCACCUAGGCGACGAUCCCUAGCUGGUCUGAGAGGAUGACCAGCCACACUGGAACUGAGACACGGUCCAGACUCCUACGGUAGGCAGCAGUGGGGAAUAUUGCACAAUGGGCGCAAGCCUGAUACAGCCAUGCCGCGUGUAUGAAGAAGGCCUUCGGGUUGUAAAGUACUUUCAGCGAGGAGGCGUUACUCGCAGAAGAAGCACCGGCUAACUCCGUGCCAGCAGCCGCGGUAAUUC
rnacentral:rRNA from 1 species